rnacentral:rRNA from 1 species
UGAGGAAUAUUGGGCAAUGCCCGCAAGGGUGACCCAGCAACGCCGCGUGGAGGAUGAAUGUCGUAAGAUUGUAAACUCCUGUUAGAGGGGAAGAAUAGUACCGGUUGGACCGGUAUAUGACUGUACCCUCAGAGAAAGCCCCGGCUAACUACGUGCCAGCAGCCGCGGUAAUACGUAGGCAGCAAGCGUUGUUCGGAGUUACUGGGCGUAAAGAGUGCGUAGGCGGUUUUCUAAGUUCGGUGUGAAAUCUCCCGGCUUAACUGGGAGGGUGCGCCGAAGACUGGGAAGCUGGAGUGUGGGAAAGGCAGGCGGAAUUCCUGGUGUAGCGGUGAAAUGCGUAGAUAUCAGGAGGAACACCGGCGGUGUAGACGGCUUGCUAGACCAUAACUGACGCUGAGGCACGAAAGCGUGGGUAGCAAACA